CUGGUAAUCUGUGGCGUAACAAGACCUCCAGGUGAUUCUCUGUAUUAGCAGCCUCUCUGUGCUCCCUGAUUCCUCCAGAAAAGCACAAGGAUUUAAUCCAGAUAGAUAUAAAUUUCACCUGGGAUCAUUUAUCAUUCCACAUUCUUCUUUAAGAAAUGUGCUAAAGAGCCACAGAUGGUUCUUGAUGAAUACAAAGGAAAAGCCAUGAAAUUUCUACAGCAUAAUUAGCAUCAUCAUUAUUCUGGCUGGAGCAAUUGCACUCAUCAUUGGCUUUGGUAUUUCAGGGAGACACUCCAUCACAGUCACUACUGUCGCCUCAGCUGGGAACAUUGGGGAGGAUGGAAUCCUGAGCUGCACUUUUGAACCUGACAUCAAACUUUCUGAUAUCGUGAUACAAUGGCUGAAGGAAGGUGUUUUAGGCUUGGUCCAUGAGUUCAAAGAAGGCAAAGAUGAGCUGUCGGAGCAGGAUGAAAUGUUCAGAGGCCGGACAGCAGUGUUUGCUGAUCAAGUGAUAGUCGGCAAUGCCUCUUUGCGGCUGAAAAACGUGCAACUCACAGAUGC
rnacentral:sRNA from 1 species